rnacentral:snRNA from 1 species
AUCACUUCUCAGACUUUUGGCUAAGAUCAAGUGUAGUAUCUGUACUUAUCAGUUUAAAGAAGGGGAUUCCAGAAGAGCUCAGUAGGGGAUCAAAGGAAGGAGUAAAGAGUUGGACCUUAAUAAAAGAGUGGACUCAUCACCUCAGAGGCUGAUGCAAAGAGAACUUUGGGAAUGGGGUUGCAGACACAUU